AGCGAACGCUGGCGGCGUGCUUAACACAUGCAAGUCGCGCGCGAAAGAGGCUUUCGGGUCUUGAGUAGAGCGGCGCACGGGUGCGUAAGACGCGGGUGACCUAUCCACGAGGUGGGGAUAACCCUUCGAAAGAGGGGCUAAUACCGGAUGAGCCCACAGGCAGAGAUGCUAGGGGGCAAAGGGUGCGAUUUACUAAGCGCAUCUCUUCGUGGCGGGGCCCACGGCCUAUCAGCUAGUUGGUGUGGUAACGGCACACCAAGGCGAAGACGGGUAGCUGGUCUGAGAGGAUGGCCAGCCACACGGGGACUGAGACACGGCCCCGACUCCUACGGGAGGCAGCAGUGGGGAAGUAUUGGGCAAUGGGCGCAAGCCUGACCCAGCGACGCCGCGUGAGGGAUGACGGCCUGGUU
rnacentral:rRNA from 1 species